GAGAAUGAAAAGAAAAUGGUAGCCUAUUCACAAGCCAGCAAACAUGCGUUCACAGUCAAAAAACAUACUAGAAAGAGAUUUACACCAGAAAUCUGAUGCUUGAUUGUGGAAAAACAUGUGAUUAUGGACAGCAUCAGCUAAGCCAAAAUCAUACAAUGAACCAGUGAACAUAUGUUUAAACCAACUAAAACAAUACUCCAAAAGUAACAAUUGAAGGUGACCAGAUGACAUGAAUCUAAAGGUGAGCUUCCGACUGGGAGCUGCAGUCUAUAUUAAACAUAAUUUCCACUACAUGAAUCCUGAAGUUGGAUGGUAACAUAUGUUCACUCUACAGGAAGAUGCCAACUUAGCUGAAAGAUGAAAGGCAAUGCACUACACAACUUUCUGCUAUAAUAACAAAUUAAAGCACAAUUUUCGUGCAAGGCCCAAACCAAUCUGGGCCAUACUCCUGGGCUCAAAAGGCCUAAUUUUUUCUGGUAAAUUUGAACCAGACUAGUUCUGUACUAAAACCAGAAUUAAGCCUUGAUUUUAUGGAAGGCUAUUUAAAGCCUGAUUAGAGAUCACAUAUUCAGAUCCAUAAAAAAUGCUAUUGCUACCAAUAAGCAUCAUUAGUUUUACAUAUACCCCUCAUAUUACUUAAGUUAUGAAAUUUCUAGAAGAUUUUUCAAUAUUGCAUGCCAAGUUCGCAAGUCUUUUAAGACAGUAAGAAAUUAAACAAUCAAACCAGUAGUCCUAGUUUUGUGUUUAAACUUCCCUUUUCCUCAAUUUACGAUCAUUUAUUCAACCACAUUUCAAAUACUUGCAUGUGAUGUGUGUCUGUUUGAAAUAAUGACAAUAGACAAGAUAGAUUAAGAAAUAUGUAACAGAAACUAACUUUUGGACCAAACCCAGCCCAGUCUGGCAAGGGCAUUGUCAAGACUUAUUGUUUAAUGUUAAGUCUAGCGUUGCCUGCCUCUAUAAAAGCCGGUUUUUUUAAAGCCUUGGAUUGUUGGGGGGGGGGGCAGGCAAAUCUAGCAUAACACUAGCGAACAUUCAUCAAGCGAAAUAUGAAGAAAUGUACAGUUCUUGAAUCUUAAGUAUGUUUUAGAGCAGUGAAUACACCACUGCAGAUCGACAUUAAUGGCUGUGUACUUACAAAUGCAACGGAUAGCUAUAUGGACUGCUAAAACUUGAUUGGCCUGAGUAUAUAAAAAAAAGGCCUAGUAUAAAUCUCUACAGCUUAGUGAAACUCAAUGAACCACAUGAGUUGAAUACUAAAGCAUGUGAAGACGUAAAAUGCAGCAAUCCAUAAAAUCAAUUAAUGUGGUUUGAAAUUUGAAUAAAUCAGUCUAUGUACCAAAAAAAAAAUUCAACUACUAGCGAACGGCUAGCAUAACACUAGCGAACAUUCAUCAAGCGAAAUAUGAAGACUAAAAAUAUAAUGUUCUUAAGUAUGUUUUAGAGCAGUGAAUACACCACUGCAGAUCGACAUUAAUGGCUGUGUACUUACCAAUGCAACGGAUAGCUAUAUGGAUUGCUAAGAACUUGAUUGGCCUGAGUAUAUUAAAAAAAAGGCCUAGUAUAAAUCUCUACAGCUUAAUGAAACUCAAUGAACUACUUGAGUUGAUUCCUAAAGCAUGUGAAGACGUAAAAUGCAGCAAUCCAUAAAAUCAAUUAAUUGUAGUUUGAAUAAAUCAGUCUAUGUCCCAAAAAAAAAAGGAUACUAUCAUCAAUUAUGUUACACCAGUGAGGU
rnacentral:lncRNA from 1 species